rnacentral:ncRNA from 1 species
UUAUAGGCAAAACUGUCGAAAGGCAGCGACGCAAAACUACAGGGUCCCGAAGAGAGACAGCCAGUUGCA